GGUGUAUCAGCCAUUUUAAAUCUGCCCUCAAAAGCACAGAACAAAUCAGAUGGCAUUUUGCUCAUAGAGGAGAGGGUCUGUGAGAACCAAAUUCCAGCUUCAGCACAUGACCUUGGGAUGUUGUUAUGUCCAAAGCCAUCUUGCCAUGAGCAGCCUGAGACUGGAGCCAAUGACUGAGGGUGGCAGAGUAGAAAGAUGGUAUUUUGAAACCAAGAAAGAGAAAUAGAAAACCCUCAACACUUUACAAAUGAAAACUAAAGAGAUGUUUGAGAGCAUGAGAAAGGAAGUCAAGGAAAGCUUGACCAUCCCCGGCAGAGUCUGGAGUUUGGCAGCUGGGAAUGGAGAUAGUGUGCAGAGUGAACAAAGGUCCAAGAUGGGCUCAGAGCCACUGAAUGACAACACACCUUCCGAAUGGACAUGACUCCUCAGAUUCCUCUGGUCUCUCUCUAACACCUCACAGAGCAGCUGCCAGAGAGCAGCUGCCACACCACACCACUCUCAGGUUCAUUAGUUAUUCUUUAGGCGGUUAGAGCACAGUAUGAAGGAAGCAGGGUGGAUUGGUUUUAUUCCUGCAAUGAUUAGGGCAUUUUGCACUGCUUAGUGGCCGUAUCCUGCUCCCUGAGGCUAGUCUACAGGUGGGAAAUAUUGGUCCUGCUGAGGAACCAACUAGCAUCACCAGAUGCAUUGGCAACGUUGGAAAAAUACAAUCUCAUGAGCAAUGGUAUGCCCCAUGUGUCCUAAAUGUUUUUCUAUGCCAGUAAUUUUCAAAUUAUUUUAGCCUUUAAGGUUUUUUUUCCCUCCAACUGAAAUCUUACUAGGAAACUCAUCAAAAAGAAGAGGAGCUGUUCUGAUUCAAGUUUGGCAGAAUUCAGAGAUCCAUGUAAAGGAUUCCUUUCCUCCUCUGAACUCUGCCACAAUCAUUU